rnacentral:rRNA from 1 species
GAUGAACGCUAGCGGCAGGCUUAACACAUGCAAGUCGAGGGCAGCAUAAACAUUGCUUGCAAUGUUGAUGGCGACCGGCGCACGGGUGCGUAACGCGUAUGUAACCUACCUCAAACAGGGGCAUAACACUGAGAAAUUGGUACUAAUUCCCCAUAACACCUGAUAGGGCAUCCUAUUAGGUUGAAAGUUCCGGCGGUUUGAGAUGGACAUGCGUUGUAUUAGCUAGUUGGUGAGGUAAUGGCUCACCAAGGCGACGAUACAUAGGGGGACUGAGAGGUUAACCCCCCACAUUGGUACUGAGACACGGACCAAACUCCUACGGGAGGCAGCAGUGAGGAAUAUUGGUCAAUGGACGCAAGUCUGAACCAGCCAUGCCGCGUGCAGGAUGACGGCUC